rnacentral:sRNA from 1 species
AAGCUUGAUUUUUCUACCGUCCCUGCAACAUUGUGAUGGAAACUUCGUUUUGUGAACGUAAGCUUAA